ensembl:lncRNA
AUACAGAAUCACUCCCUUCUGCUCAUUCUCAGCCCAUUUCAGUGCCAACUAGAGCAGGAUUCAGCCAACGGAAUUCGGAUUUUGGAAACCAAGCAGCAAAAGGAAUGGAGAAGGUGAAGUCUUUCUACAUUGAGUGAUCAGGCCCAGGAUCAGGAUGCAGCUCUGUAAGCUGAGACUGGUGAUAGCAAAGCCUGAGACAAUAUGUAAGGUGGAAGCCUUUGGUUUCUCUGCACCCUCUACUGCCUGAAACAGCGCUGUGGGUCCUCACACCUCUCUGAGUCGAUCCUUCCCUUUCCGGAGGUACUACAGCUGUUAGUAUUAUUUCCUAAGACAGUGUGUUUAUCUUGUGAGGAUGUGAAAGGGGAAAAGAUGGGAAACAGUUUUUCUGUGCACUUUAUUGUCAUCCACUGAAGAGCGUUCCCUGAAAUGAAAGUGAACCCUCCGCCAGACUGCCACCUCCUGGUGAGCACUGAGCGCGUUUCUCACGUUACUGCGCCUGCCGCUGCCCUCACGGCUAUCAUCGUUACCUCAGCACGCCCAGCUGCAGAUCCCAGCACGCAGCGCCGGACCGCACUGCAAGCAGCGAACCCUUCCUGGCCCAGCGAUCCUUCCCAACAACUCUGACUGCAGCCGAACCCCGCCGAGGAGCCGCGCUUCCAUACGGGGCUGUUCUCUAUUCAUUUCUAGUUCGUUUUUACAGAUUUUGACUGGGUGAGCUGAGUGCAUGAAGCACUCGUGCAAAAGCAGUUAAGCUUCUGUCCUCUGGCC